rnacentral:rRNA from 1 species
GAUGAACGCUAGCGGCAGGCUUAAUACAUGCAAGUCGUGGGGCAGCAUGAAUGUAGCAAUACAUUUGAUGGCGACCGGCAAACGGGUGCGGAACACGUACACAACCUUCCUAUAAGUGGGGAAUAGCCCAGAGAAAUUUGGAUUAAUACCCCGUAACAUAACGAUGUGGCAUCACAUUGUUAUUAUAGCUUCGGCGCUUAUUGAUGGGUGUGCGGCUGAUUAGAUAGUUGGCGGGGUAACGGCCCACCAAGUCUACGAUCAGUAGCUGAUGUGAGAGCAUGAUCAGCCACACGGGCACUGAGACACGGGCCCGACUCCUACGGGAGGCAGCAGUAAGGAAUAUUGGUCAAUGGACGCAAGUCUGAACCAGCCAUGCCGCGUGAAGGAUUAAGGUCCUCUGGAUUGUAAACUUCUUUUAUCUGGGACGAAAAAAGGCUUUUCUAAGUCACUUGACGGUACCAGAUGAAUAAGCACCGGCUAACUCCGUGCCAGCCGCCGCCGUAAAAC